rnacentral:lncRNA from 1 species
ACUGAAGCUGAACAAAGAUUUAUUUAUUCUCUGUUGGUGAGGCCAGGAGAUGGUGAGACUCAGGAACUGCUAGUGGCCACAUUUCUUGCUAUGUAAAGAAAGCUUUUCUAAGAGAAAGAAGUUAACAACACAGAGAGAGAAACAGAAUUGAGAGACUGAGAAAAGAAGACCUAGCAGCACUCAAAUCACCUGUUCCAAUGACCUUGAUACCACCUGCCACUCAUCCUUCUCAGUGUGAGCCUUCCACACAGCACUGAUGACUGAGCUGUAAUUGCUGGGUGCUUGUCUACCUGUCUACCUCUCUGUCCAGAAGACAGUGGCUUUCAGGUUCAUGCAUUCUGCCCAUCGCUGGGGCACUCAACUGAGAGGGAAGGAAGUGGGGAUGCACUCAAUACACACAGGUAGGAUUGCGACAACCAUGUGUGUACUUCAUAACCCUGAGCCCUGAACCACAGAUGAUUUACUCGAGCUGGGCCACAGUCUCCCUGUAGCAAUUUGGGACUGAGUCAUACAAAGAUUGGACACUGAAACUCCUUCACACAAAUAAUAGCACUCUUCAGAGGAUGUUAUUAGCCUCUGGCUAGUAAGGGGCCCCAAGCUGUCUUCUGCGAAUUCUCUAAGAACCUCUAAUAUUCCUCCAACAAGCUUGCAAGGUCAUUUCUGCUUCCUAAAGCCAAAAGAAACUGAACUAAUACACACCCCAAAAUAUUGUAGUUUCUGUGUGAGCAGGAACAACGUGUUCCUCAUUAUAGCUCCAAGGCCAGCACGGUCCCUAAUCAGAACUCACUGAACACCUGAUGAAUGCCUGCAGCUCACUGCACUGAGUGGGAGAUGCUCCUCCCACUUAGAUAGGGAUUUUUUUUUUUUUUAACUCUCUUGCCUUCAAGGUCCUGCGCACAUCUGCCCUGGCCUUGGUCUCCCUGUGUUGUCAGCUACAGUGGCCAGUGUGUCCUCUGUAGGGUACAUCACAUCCCUGCUCAAGAAUGCAUGUUAGAGACUAGAAGUACCAGGCCUCUCAUCACCUAAGAAACUUUACCCUUGACUACCUGCCCAGGGUCAUCAGGCCUAUCAUACUGGUUUCCCUAUACAUCUUGUGUGUGCUGAACUAGGGCCGUAAUGAUAAGUCCAUUUCCAUUUCCAGUGUUGGGUUUUUUGUUUGUUUGUUUUUUGUUUUUGAGACAGUCUCGCUCUGUUGCCCAGGCUGGAGUGCAGUGGCAUGAUCUCGGCUCACUGCAACCUCCACCUCCCAG